AUUGAACGCUGGCGGCAGGCCUAACACAUGCAAGUCGAGCGGAUGAAUGGAGCUUGCUCCUGGAUUCAGCGGCGGACGGGUGAGUAAUGCCUAGGAAUCUGCCUGGUAGUGGGGGAUAACGUCCGGAAACGGGCGCUAAUACCGCAUACGUCCUGAGGGAGAAAGUGGGGGAUCUUCGGACCUCACGCUAUCAUAUGAGCCUAGGUCGGAUUAGCUAGUUGGUGGGGUAAAGGCCUACCAAGGCGACGAUCCGUAACUGGUCUGAGAGGAUGAUCAGUCACACUGGAACUGAGACACGGUCCAGACUCCUACGGGAGGCAGCAGUGGGGAAUAUUGGACAAAGGGCGAAAGCCUGAUCCAGCCAUGCCGCGUGUGUGAAGAAGGUCUUCGGAUUGUAAAGCACUUUAAGUUGGGAGGAAGGGCAGUAAGUUAAUACCUUGCUGUUUUGACGUUACCAACAGAAUAAGCACCGGCUAACUUCGUG
rnacentral:rRNA from 1 species